ACAACGGACAACUAAACCCAUGGCACAAAGGAGUGCACACUGCUCUCGACCGUCUGGCUCCUCAUCAUCCUCUGGGGUUCUUAUGGUGGGACCCAACUUCAGGGUUGGCAAGAAGAUAGGGUGUGGGAACUUCGGAGAGCUCAGAUUAGGUAAAAAUCUCUACACCAAUGAAUAUGUAGCAAUCAAACUGGAACCAAUAAAAUCACGUGCUCCACAGCUUCAUUUAGAGUACAGAUUUUAUAAACAGCUUGGCAGUGCAGGUAAGUCAAGUCUUUUCUCUCCACUUACUUAGUAUGUAUCUUAGCUGGAAGCCCUAAAAUAUACAAAUUUUUU
rnacentral:sRNA from 1 species